rnacentral:rRNA from 1 species
CCUACGGGAGGCAGCAGUGGGGAAUCUUGCGCAAUGGGCGAAAGCCUGACGCAGCAACGCCGCGUGCGGGAAGAAGGCCUUAGGGUUGUAAACCGCUUUCAGUAGGAACGAAAAUGACGGUACCUGCAGAAGAAGGUGCGGCCAACUACGUGCCAGCAGCCGCGGUGACACGUAGGCACCAAGCGUUGUCCGGAUUUAUUGGGCGUAAAGAGCUCGUAGGCGGUUCAGUAAGUCGGGUGUGAAAACUCUGGGCUUAACCCAGAGCCGCCACUCGAUACUGCUGUGACUUGAGUUCGGUAGGGGAGCAGGGAAUUCCUAGUGUAGCGGUGAAAUGCGCAGAUAUUAGGAGGAACACCGGUGGCGAAGGCGCUGCUCUGGGCCGAUACUGACGCUGAGGAGCGAAAGCGUGGGUAGCAAACAGGAUUAGAUACCCUGGUAGUCCACGCCGUAAACGUUGGGCACUAGGUGUGGGUUCCAACCAACGGAAUCCGCGCCGUCGCUAACGCAUUAAGUGCCCCGCCUGGGGAGUACGGCGGCAACGCUAAAACUCAAAUGAAUUGACGGCUGAGACGNGCGAGCGACGACGAGGAGAG